ensembl:lncRNA LINC00200 long intergenic non-protein coding RNA 200
GAUGAGGGAUGGCGCCGGCGCAGGCCUGCGCGCCACGCGCUUUAGGUGGAUGAGGGAUGGCGCAGGUGCAGGCCUGCGCGCCUCACGCUUUAUGUACAUGAGGGAUGAGGCAGCACAGGAAUUGGCACAACCUGAAGUCAGCUCUGCAGCUUUCCAAGCUUCGUUCUGCGUGUCCUGUACUCAACAGUCAUCUCAUGCUGCAGGGUGGCUGCGUGUGCUCCGUACAUCACACCCAUAUUUCAGAGUGUCUGCCUGGAUCUCGGAUGGUCGUAAGCCACAGAGCACCUGUCACUGAGGACCUUCAUUCCACAGCAUGUCUGCCUGGAUGUCGGAUGGUCGGAGGACACACAGCGCCUGUCACCGAGGACCUUCAUUCCACAGCGUGUCUGCCUGGAUCUCGGAUGGUGGGAGGACACACAGCGCCUGUCACUGAGGACCUUCAUUCCACAGCGUGUCUGCCUGGAUCUCGGAUGGUGGGAGGACACACAGCGCCUGUCACUGAGGACCCUUCAUUCCACAGCGUGUCUGCCUGGAUCUCGGAUGGUGGGAGGACACACAGCGCCUGUCACCGAGGACCUUCAUUCCACAGAUUCCACAGUGUGUCUCCCUGGAUCUUGGAUGGUGGCUCUUCAGAGUCAAUCUUUUCCUUGAUGUUCACCGAUAAGUCAGAGAAUGGCAACAAAUCCUGGGAAAGGAGAUUUUUUGUAACUGAGCUUUUCCUUCAGGGAACAAUGGGAAGUGUUUUCUGUUUGUUUGUUUUGUUUUUUUUUCAAUAGAGACAUGGUUUUGCCAUAUUGCCCAGGUUGGUCUUGAACUCCUGGGCUCAAGCGAUCCUCCCACCUCAGCCUCCUUAAGUGCUGGGAUUACAAGUGUGAGCCACUGCACCUGGUCUUUGUGUGUGUGUGUGUUUUUUUUAGACAGGGUCUCACUCUGUCACCCAGGCUGGAGUAUGGUGGUGCAAGUGGUGCAGCCAUAGCUCACCGCAGCCUAAUUAUUUUGUAUUUUUUCAUAGAGGCAGAGUCUUCCUAUGUUGCCCAGGCUGGUCUCGAACUCCUGGGCUCAAGCCAUCCACUGAACUUGGCCUCCCACCGUGCUGGAACCACAGGUGUGAGUCACCGUGUCCGGCCAAGGCUGACAUUUUUGAGGAGCGGUUGAGGGAUUUGGCUUCUUCCCUUGACUCUGAGACCAGAGGACAGACCAAAGGCUGGGAGGAAAUUCAGCAGUGUGGCCCUCCUCGGGACGUAAGAUGCCCGUUCUCAGAUUUGGAGAUGCCAGAAAACAAGGCCCAGGAAAGGACCCCGUGCAGGGCCCAGGGCUCCGGGUACUGUGGUCCCAGUGGGCCUGUUAAUUCUCAGACUGUUAGUGCGUCUUAAAAUGUCUUAUAAAGCAGGGAAAGGUACAUUUCCGCCAUCUGUAACAAAGCACCUUCGUGAAAUAAGCCACGAGUUAAAAAGUAAAAUUGGGAUUCCUGGAAGAGACGCCUCCGUGUUAGAGGCCGUCAGAGCACGGGCUUUGAACAAAACUUCCGGAACGUAUGUGAGUGGCUGUGAUGCUGCAGGACCGUCGGAAGACAAAUAACUUCUCUAUCUGGUUCCUACCUAAUAACCUUUACAAUAAAGAGGAAAUCAACC